GACGAACGCUGGCGGCGUGCUUAACACAUGCAAGUCGAACGGAAAGGCCCUGCUUUUGUGGGGUGCUCGAGUGGCGAACGGGUGAGUAACACGUGAGUAACCUGCCCUUGACUUUGGGAUAACUUCAGGAAACUGGGGCUAAUACCGGAUAGGAGCUCCUGCUGCAUGGUGGGGGUUGGAAAGUUUCGGCGGUUGGGGAUGGACUCGCGGCUUAUCAGCUUGUUGGUGGGGUAGUGGCUUACCAAGGCUUUGACGGGUAGCCGGCCUGAGAGGGUGACCGGCCACAUUGGGAUUGAGAUACGGCCCAGACUCCUACGGGAGGCAGCAGUGGGGAAUAUUGCACAAUGGGCGGAAGCCUGAUGCAGCAACGCCGCGUGCGGGAUGACGGCCUUCGGGUUGUAAACCGCUUUCGCCUGUGACGAAGCGUGAGUGACGGUAAUGGGUAAAGAAGCACCGGCUAACUACGUGC
rnacentral:rRNA from 1 species